ensembl:lincRNA Gm11681 predicted gene 11681
AGGUCUGAUGGGGAUGGAAUGAUCUUCCAGAGGGCAGAGAAGACUGGCAGGCAGUCAUCAAGCUCUCUGCUGGUGUUUGGCUGCCUGUGCAGCACACUGCUCUUUCCUCAAGUCGCUCACAAAUCCCCCAGAUUUUGUUUGAACCUGUUUUUUGUUGAGUUCUUGGCAUGUGAAGGCAACAGCAGGUUAAUACGCCAUUUGUCGACGACUGACCGGGAGGACGCCCUGAGGUUAGUUGGACAGAGACAUCACUGAGCCAGCUGCAAAAAUGAGAAGUCAGAAGAAGAAGAAAAAAAAAAGGAUAACCAAAGCCAUCCCCCUACAAAGAAAGAGAAUGUAAUGGGACCAUCUGACCUCCUGCUCCUGUGCCUUUCCGACCAUGGUAAACCAUGUAUCCUGGAACUGUGAGCCACAGUGGACUGUGCAUCCUGGAACUGUGAGCCAGGGCAAACCUAUCCUUCCUUCAACUGCUUCUUGUCUUCUGUCACAGCAACAAAGAAGUGACUAAUAACUCUAGCAACUAAACUUGGCCACCACAGCAGAGUCACAUGUAGCUGAUCUGUAGACUACACUACUACUGUGUGUGCGACUUGUGUGACUUUGCAAUGAUAGCAGGUGGGCCAUAUUGGGUAUGUAUGUAGGCUCUAAUUUGUCCUGAAAUAGCUAUUGGUUGGUCAAAAUUUGCUUUAGCAAGACUCCCCGUGAUAUAAUAAUUUAAGCCUAGAAGCUCCAUUUCUCAUUUUAUUCUCCCUUUGCUGUUACAAACUCUAUUUCAAAUGUUCUUUUGGAAACUGAUGGGUGUAGAGAGUAGGCCUAUGGUGCCUGUCUGUACCUUUUAGUGAUAACAUGACCUUAGGUUAAUUGCUUAAAA